GGGAAAGACCAGCAACUGUUACAGCAUCCCUGUGCUUUUAUUCCAGCACAGACAUCAGCCUCCCAGUUAAAGAUGUAUACCCCAAUUUGGAGAACCG